AACGAACGCUGGCGGCGCGUUUAAGCAUGCAAGUCGAACGGCAGCCGCGGGGCAACCUGCGGCGAGAGUGGCGAACGGGUGAGUAAUACGUAGGUGAUCUGCCCUUGGAUGUGGGAUAGUCCGUGGAAACACGGGGUAAUACCGCAUGAGGCCGCGGGUGUAAAGGCCCGCGGUGAAAGCUUCAACUGGAGCGUCUGGGGAUGAGCCUGCGGCCCAUUAGGUAGUUGGUGGGUAAAGGCCUACCAAGCCGACGAUGGGUAGCCGGCCUGAGAGGGUGUACGGCCACACUGGAACUGGGACACGGUCCAGACUCCUACGGGUGGCAG
rnacentral:rRNA from 1 species